rnacentral:rRNA from 1 species
UGGGGAAUAUUGCACAAUGGGGGAAACCCUGAUGCAGCAACGCCGCGUGAGUGAAGAAGUAUUUCGGUAUGUAAAGCUCUAUCAGCAGGGAAGAGAAUGACGGUACCUGACUAAGAAGCCCCGGCUAACUACGUGCCAGCAGCCGCGGUAAUACGUAGGGGGCAAGCGUUAUCCGGAUUUACUGGGUGUAAAGGGAGCGUAGACGGCUGUACAAGUCUGAAGUGAAAGCCCGUGGCUCAACCGCGGAACUGCUUUGGAAACUGUAAAGCUGGAGUACUGGAGAGGCAGGCGGAAUUCCUAGUG